GUGUCGCACGGCGCGGUGGCCCGGGCGUCGACGAUCAUUUCGUUGACGGAGCAGAUCGCGUUCCGGGUGCUGCCGUUGGUCGCGGCGGCGGUCUC
rnacentral:tRNA from 1 species